CUGGAAUUUUCAAGUUGAAAUUCAAAAGCUGUGCAUAUCUUUUCUUGUUUCCCGCUACUGAGAGUAGAAUAAAAGCUUCACAUGGAACAGUUUUGGACCAUCCCCAUGUAGAGGAUGAUACAGAUAACAAACUCUCUGGUGAUCUCCCUGAAGAGCCAAGACAAAGAAAGACAAAGACCUUUUUCAGUAAAAACACCAGUCAAAAUCUGAAACAGCAGACAAUGAUUGAUAAUCAG
rnacentral:lncRNA from 1 species